rnacentral:rRNA from 1 species
UAGGGAAUCUUGCGCAAUGGGCGAAAGCCUGACGCAGCCAUGCCGCGUGAAUGAUGAAGGUCUUAGGAUUGUAAAAUUCUUUCACCGGGGAAGAUAAUGACGGUACCCGGAGAAGAAGCCCCGGCUAACUUCGUGCCAGCAGCCGCGGUAAUACGAAGGGGGCUAGCGUUGCUCGGAAUUACUGGGCGUAAAGGGCGCGUAGGCGGAUAUUUAAGUUGGGGGUGAAAGCCCGGGGCUCAACCUCGGAAUAGCCUUCAAUACUGGAUAUCUUGAGUUCGGGAGAGGUGAGUGGAAUGCCGAGUGUAGAGGUGAAAUUCGUAGAUAUUCGGCGGAACACCAGUGGCGAAGGCGACUCACUGGCCCGAUACUGACGCUGAGGCGCGAAAGCGUGGGGAGCAAACAGGAUUAGAUACCCUGGUAGUCCACGCCGUAAACGAUGAGUGCUAGUUGUCGGCAUGCAUGCAUGUCGGUGACGCAGCUAACGCAUUAAGCACUCCGCCUGGGGAGUACGGUCGCAAGAUCAAAAACUUAAAUG